AGUUGGUCGGUUUGUCGCUGGUACAUGUGUGUACAAGAGGAAAGUCCGGGCAACACAGAGCAUCCUACUUCCUAACAGAAAGCUGCCCGCGAGGGUGGAGUAAUGCAGAAGAAAAUAACCGCCUUUUCUUUCGGGAAAAGGUAAGGGUGAGAAGGUAGGGUAAGAGCCUACCAGCCGUAUAGCGAUAUGCGGGCUGUGCAUCUUAGGAGUUGUAAGGUCAUGUAAACCGGCAUUAAUGAGGGUUGCUCGCCCCACGUCGGAGGGUAGACCGCUAGAGCCUACUGGUGACAGCAGGCGUAGAUAAAUGACAGACACCUUAUUUUUAUAAGGAACAGAACCCGGCUUAUAGACUGACUGC
rnacentral:RNase_P_RNA from 1 species